GUAUUCAGUUUCGUUCGAGUCCUCAGUCGGAGUAGUGUGUGUAAUUAAAUUAAAAGUUUUUACUGCCAAAUAGAAACAGCUGGCAAAAUGUUAAUGACUUUGCCCGCUCAGGAAAUGAGAGGGGGGGGGGGCAAAAAGCAAAUUAGCUAACCACCCACCUACGAUUUAUACAACGACAACCAAAUUCGCUUCAGGAGCUGCCAGCAAUUUGAGGAACCUUUUCAAGAAAUGGGCACGACCCGGCCACGAAAUACUACAGGCCACUGGCAAACCAAUUGACCGCUGGUAAAGGGCCACGACAAACGGGCGCCCCCAAAAAAAAAUAAAAAUCAUAUUUAUCUAGCUAAACAAAUAUGUGUGGAGUUUAAAGAAGAUUGCGGCUGCAGGUUUUGAUCAAGUUAUCUGGAGGCACAGAAGAGGUAUCCAUAAAAUAUAUAUGACAUGCUAGACAAAUACCCUUUCAUAAGGCUUCGAUUUUGAAGAUAAGUGAGGCGCGUAUGAAAGAUCGUGUCUGCAGAGUUCAAUCAAGAUGAGUUUUCCAAAAAAAAAAAAAAACUGCUCUCAAUCGAUUUCACAUAUUUAGCUUAAGGAUAUACUUAGCAGUUCGCUGCCGAAAAUAUUUCUUAAAAACAACUAAAAAUUCUAUACGAGAGAGUAGUCCGGCGCUCUGAAGAUCUUUUGUAAGAACCAUGCACGAGUUCGUCAAUGCCAAGCACUCAAAAUUCGUCAACUUUAUGUGUACUAUGGCAGCUAUAUGUUAUACCGAUCCGAUGCGGACAUAUACAAUCUUGAAGAGAAAGAUGAAUCGAUGCAUAGAUGCAGUCAGACGUGACUUUUUAGUGAUUCAUGCUGUCGAAGACAUCUUCUUCCAAGUGUCACAUAUUUAAUGGGAACACGAUCAUACCCUUAGCAAGGGUAUUACAAAUCUGCAGCUGCAUUCGUUGACAGUUGUGCAAAUCAGUUGCGGCCAAUUUCUAGCCGGCGGCCAUAAAGGCAAAGCCAAGACGUGAUCGCAUUCCAAGAAGCGGCCCAAAACUGAAACAAUAUGCCGCGGCGGCGUUUUUUCUCUUAUUUAUUUAUUUUUUUUUUUUUUUUUUUGGUGGCCGCAUCGAUCACGAUUGCUGACUGACGACUGACAUCGGCCGUUUGCCGGAGGGGGGGCGGCCAGGCACACACACACACACACACACCCGCACACACACCCGCACGUUUGCAACUCCAAAUACAUAAUGGCAAAUCGAAUAACAAAGCAAAUCUUUUGACUCCGGCCGCAGAUGUCAUAGGUUGGCCCACAAAGAGAAACCCAAAGCCCCAAAAGCGUGGCUAAGGUCGCUGGCCAAGUGUUGUUGCUGUGGACUGCAGCGAAUGCCGCUUGCAUAAGCCAACUUGAACUUCGGGCCAAAAAAGCUAACAGAAAACUAUGCUGAAGCGAGACAAUUGCACAAUUAAAACUGGGCAACAAACAAACAGUUGAAAAUUAAUGCGGCUUAUGCUUAUGCCACACAAUUGACAAUAAUUUUCAGCAGCAACAAUGCAAAUCCAGCCAAAAGUUGAGUCACUUUUAAACCGAUUAUCAGCCACAAAAUACAAAUAAAAAUAAAAAUGCUUUCAAACUGCAAAGCGAACAAUUAAACAAUUGCAGCCAGCAGCGCAACAA